UUAAAGGGCUGCAGUAUAUUGACUGUACAAAGGUAGCAUAAUCAUUAGUCAUUUAAUUGAUGACUUGUAUGAAGGAUUGGAUGAAAUAUAAACUGUCUCUUAAUUAUAUUUAGAAUUUAAUUUUUUAAUUAAAAAGUUAAAAUAAAUUAGAAAGACGAGAAGACCCUAUAGAGUUUUAUAAGUAAAAUUAAUUGAGAUUAUUUGUAAAGGUUAAAAUUAAGAUUAAUUUAUUUAUUUUGUUGGGGUGACAGAAAAAUAUGAAAAACUUUUUAUAUGUUUAAAACAUUAAUAAGUGGUUAAAUGAUCCAAUAUUAUUGAUUAUAAGAAAAAAUUACCUUAGGGAUAACAGCGUAAUUUUUUUUUUUAGUUCACAUAAAAAAAAAAGUUUGCGACCUCGAUGUUGGAUUAAGAUAAAAUUUAAAUGCAGAAG
rnacentral:rRNA from 1 species